rnacentral:rRNA from 1 species
UACGUAGGGGGCAAGCGUUGUCCGGAAUCAUUGGGCGUAAAGCGCGUGUAGGCGGUCCGGUAAGUCCGCUGUGAAAGGCGGGGGCUCAACCCUCGGAUGCCGGUGGAUACUGUCGGGCUUGAGUACGGAAGAGGCGAGUGGAAUUCCUGGUGUAGCGGUGAAAUGCGCAGAUAUCAGGAGGAACACCAAUUGCGAAGGCAGCUCGCUGGGACGUUACUGACGCUGAGACGCGAAAGCGUGGGGAGCAAACAGG